rnacentral:rRNA from 1 species
UACAGAGGGUGCGAGCGUUGUUCGGAAUUAUUGGGCGUAAAGCGCAUGUAGGCGGCCUGUUAAGUCACGUGUGAAAGCCCCAGGCUCAACCUGGGAAGUGCGCGUGAAACUGGCGGGCUUGAAUCCUGGAGAGGGUGGCGGAAUUCCCGGUGUAGAGGUGAAAUUCGUAGAUAUCGGGAGGAACACCAGAGGCGAAGGCGGCCACCUGGACAGAGAUUGACGCUGAGACGCGAAAGCGUGGGGAGCAAACAGGAUUGAGAUACCC